CAGAGCCUCGUACUUCAGCUCUCUGCCCGUUAUCUUUUUGUAGAUGUUCUCCAGACACACCAGGAACGUUCCAUGACCGAACCUACAGAACCAAACAAACGUGUGUCUGUGUUCCAUCAUUGAUCUCAGGACUGAGGGUUACCGUGGCGAUUGGGCCUCGGCCAUCCACAUGAGGUCCAUGUUGCAGGCCAGAACCGGCAGAUGAGGCGUCAUUCUGGGUUGGUGAACACUGCCGAGGUUACCAUUGGUCAACAAGACGUCGAUGAUCAGCUGCAGGUUGGUCUCCCAUCGAACUGGCUCUCCAAACAGAACCACAGCUGUGUGUGUGUGUGUGUGUGUGUGUGUGUGUGUGUGUGAAAACAAAGUGAAUCAGAGCGGUUACGUCUGAGCUCCUGAUCUGGAGAAGAAUCUGAAGAUGAAGUAACAGGUUCAUACCUUCAACUUUGGGGAGGUUCACCACAGGGCUGGGCUGGAACAGAGGACAGGAGUGAGCACGUGCAGAAGAACAAGACCAAGACCACAAAGCAGUUUGGGUCUCCUGUUGUGGUCCACCAUGUCCAGCAGGGGGUACAACUCCCUCAGCAUCUCAAUACUGACAACAUUCUUGAAACCCAAACUGGAAAAGAAGAAAUAUAUAUGUUCUUAGAACCUUGAAAGAAUGAA